rnacentral:lncRNA from 1 species
AUAUACGAACAUGAAGAUCACAAACUGGUAAUUUUGAUAUCUCCAUGAGACUCUAAAGCAGAAGCCCUCCAAUGGUGAUCCACAUAGGAUUGAUCAGGGCCCUUCCCAACUCAUCAUGGUGCUACAGCCUUCUUUGCAAGCUUACUGUCGUCCAUCCUUCAUAAGAACUAGUUGCACCAUUGCUCGUACGCCUUCAAGACCUCCACCA